rnacentral:rRNA from 1 species
UACGGAGGGGCUAGCGUUGUUCGGAAUUACUGGGCGUAAAGCGCGCGUAGGCGGCUUUGUAAGUUAGAGGUGAAAGCCCGGGGCUCAACUCCGGAACUGCCUUUAAGACUGCAUCGCUUGAAUCCGGGAGAGGUGGAGUGGAAUUCCGAGUGUAGAGGUGAAAUUCGUAGAUAUUCGGAAGAACACCAGUGGCGAAGGCGGCUCACUGGACCGGUAUUGACGCUGAGGUGCGAAAGCGUGGGGAGCAAACAGG